UCAACGAAGGGAUUUCAGUAUCCACCGACUCAGUUUCAACUUCAACUAUUGUUUCAGUAUCCACGGGAAACUGGGUUGAUCCGACUGUGCCAAGAACUGGCCAACACAGACUCAUCAUUACGUCCGGGUAUGGAGAUACAGGUGGAACUCUCUCUUGAAUUGGUUUAUUCUGUCUCUGAACCCGAAGUCCCGUUUGCGUGGACUUAUAUCUGGAUUACUCCUCUAUGAUAACUCUCCGUUGGAGUGUGGGUGGAAUACCAGUCAAGAUUACAAUUAUACACUAUACUUUUAGACAACAAUCACAUGGAAACAGAUUAUUUAUUGAACUGGAUCCAGGAACACCGUAUUCACCACUGCAAAGAUCUAGAUAAGAUGUGGCUGGCUUAUUACUGUAUCUCGUCCCUGCGCUGCGGGGUGCUGCUCUUGAGGAUAAAUUAACUUGACUGAGCCACAACUUCCCUCCACAGUUCAUCAAAAU